UACGAAGGGGGCUAGCGUUGCUCGGAAUCACUGGGCGUAAAGGGCGCGUAGGCGGAUCUUUAAGUCGGGGGUGAAAGCCUGUGGCUCAACCACAGAAUUGCCUUCGAUACUGUAGAGCUUGAGACCGGAAGAGGUAAGUGGAACUGCGAGUGUAGAGGUGAAAUUCGUAGAUAUUCGCAAGAACACCAGUGGCGAAGGCGGCUGACUGGUCCGGUUCUGACGCUGAGGCGCGAAAGCGUGGGGAGCAAACAGG
rnacentral:rRNA from 1 species